AGUGGGAAAGCUGGGUCAAAUGGUUCCAUUCCAAGUUUUCCAAGGAAUCACCAUACUGUUUUCCAUGUUGGCUGCACCAAUUUGCAGUCCCACCAGCAAU
rnacentral:pre_miRNA from 1 species